GUCAGACCCACUCAGGACACAGCAUGGACAUGAGGGUCCCUGCUCAGCUCCUGGGGCUCCUGCUGCUCUGGCUCCCAGGUGCCAGAGGUGACAUCCAGAUGACCCAGUCUCCAUCCUCCGUGUCUGCAUCUGUAGGAGACAGAGUCACCAUCACUUGUCGGGCAAGUCAGAGCAUUAGCAGCUGGUUAGCAUGGUAUCAGCAAAAACCAGGGAAAGCCCCUAAGCUCCUGAUCUAUAAGGCGUCCAAUUUGCAAAGUGGGGUCCCAUCAAGGUUCAGCGGCAGUGGAUCUGGGACAGAUUUCACUCUUACCAUCAGCAGCCUGCAGCCUGAAGAUUUUGCAACUUAUUACUGUCAACAGUAUAAUAGUUACCCUCCCACAGUGUUACACACCCGAACAAAAACCCCCAGGGAAGCAGAUGUGUGA